CAAGCCUGAUCCAGCCAUGCCGCGUGGGUGAAGAAGGCCUUCGGGUUGUAAAGCCCUUUUGUUGGGAAAGAAAAGCAGCCGGCCAAUACCCGGUUGUUCUGACGGUACCCAAAGAAUAAGCACCGGCUAACUUCGUGCCAGCAGCCGCGGUAACACGUAGGAGGCGAGCGUUAUUCGGAUUUACUGGGCGUAAAGCGCGUGCAGGCGGCUAAUCAAGUUGGAUGUGAAAGCUCCCGGCUUAACUGGGAGAGGACGUUCAAAACUGAAUAGCUUGAGUAUGAGAGAGGAAAAUGGAAUUCCGGGUGUAGUGGUGAAAUGCGUAGAUAUCCGGAGGAACACCAGUGGCGAAGGCGAUUUUCUGGCUCAAGACUGACGCUCAGACGCGAAAGCUAGGGUAGCAAACG
rnacentral:rRNA from 1 species